AGAUAUAUAGUUUAAACUAAAACAUUAAUUUUGUAAAUUAAAAUUAAAUUAAAAUUUUAUAUCUU
rnacentral:tRNA from 1 species